rnacentral:rRNA from 1 species
AGUGAACGCUGGCGGCAGGCCUAACACAUGCAAGUCGAACGGCAGCACAGUAAGAGCUUGCUCUUACGGGCGGCGCGUGGCGGACGGGUGAGGAAUACACCGGAAUCUACUUCUUCGUGGGGGAUAACGCAGGGAAACUUACGCUAAUACAGGAUAUGACCUACGGGUGAAAGCAGGGGAUCUUCGGACCUUGCGCGAUUGAAUGAGCCGACGUCGGAUUAGCUAGUUGGCGGGGUAAAGGCGCACCAAGGCUACGAUCCGAAGCGCGUCUGGGGGGGAGAUCAGCCACACUGGAAGUGAGGCACGUUACAGACUCCUACAGGGGGCAGCAGUGGGGAAUAUUGCAGAAGGGAGGCAAGCCUGAUCCAGCCAAACCGCGUGAGUGAUGAAGGCGUUCGGGUUGUAGAGCGCUUAAGUUGGGAAAGAAGAACAGCAGGUUAAUACCCCGUUGUUAUGACGGUACCCAGAGAAUAAGCACCGGCUAACUUCGUG